UAGGGAAUCUUCCGCAAUGGACGAAAGUCUGACGGAGCAACGCCGCGUGAGUGAAGAAGGAUUUCGGUUCGUAAAACUCUGUUGUUAGGGAAGAAAAAAUGUAUAGUAACUAUAUACAAAAGAGACGGUACCUAACCAGAAAGCCACGGCUAACUACGUGCCAGCAGCCGCGGUAAUACGUAGGUGGCAAGCGUUGUCCGGAAUUAUUGAGCGUAAAGCGCGCGCAGGUGGUUUAGAAAGUCUGAUGUGAAAGCCCACGGCUCAACCGUGGAGGGUCAUUGGAAACUAAUAAACUUGAGUGCAGGAGAGAAAAGUGGAAUUCCUAGUGUAGCGGUGAAAUGCGUAGAGAUUAGGAGGAAUACCGGUGGCGAAGGAGACUUUCUGGACUUUUACUGACGCUCAGGUACGAAAGCGUGGGGAGCAAACAGG
rnacentral:rRNA from 1 species